UGGGGAAUAUUGGACAAUGGGCGAAAGCCUGAUCCAGCCAUGCCGCGUGUGUGAAGAAGGUCUUCGGAUUGUAAAGCACUUUAAGUUGGGAGGAAGGGCAGUAAGCGAAUACCUUGCUGUUUUGACGUUACCGACAGAAUAAGCACCGGCUAACUCUGUGCCAGCAGCCGCGGUAAUACAGAGGGUGCAAGCGUUAAUCGGAAUUACUGGGCGUAAAGCGCGCGUAGGUGGUUCGUUAAGUUGAAUGUGAAAGCCCCGGGCUCAACCUGGGAACUGCAUCCAAAACUGGCGAGCUAGAGUAGGGCAGAGGGUGGUAGAAUUUACUGUGUAGCGGUGAAAUGCGUAGAUAUAGGAAGGAACACCAGUGGCGAAGGCGACCACCUGGGCUCAUACUGACACUGAGGUGCGAAAGCGUGGGGAGCAAACAGG
rnacentral:rRNA from 1 species